rnacentral:rRNA from 1 species
GAUGAACGCUGGCGGCGUGCCUAAUACAUGCAAGUCGAGCGAACGGACGAGAAGCUUGCUUCUCUGAUGUUAGCGGCGGACGGGUGAGUAACACGUGGAUAACCUACCUAUAAGACUGGGAUAACUUCGGGAAACCGUAGCUAAUACCGGAUAAUAUUUUGAACCGCAUGGUUCAAAAGUGAAAGACGGUCUUGCUGUCACUUAUAUAUGGAUCCGCGCUGCAUUAGCUAGUUGGUAAGGUAACGGCUUACCAAGGCAACGAUGCAUAGCCGACCUGAGAGGGUGAUCGGCCACACUGGAACUGAGACACGGUCCAGACUCCCACGGGAGGCAGCAGUAGGGAAUCUUCCGCAAUGGGCGAAAGCCUGACGGAGCAACGCCGCGUGAGUGAUGAAGGUCUUCGGAUCGUAAAACUCUGUUAUUAGGGAAGAACAUAUGUGUAAGUAACUGUGCACAUCUUGACGGUACCUAAUCAGAAAGCCACGGCUAACUACGUG